UUAAGAAUGAGGCUGUUUGUGUGACCUCUUUGAAGCUGCUCAGAGCUAUUAUUGAUGCUGACUUGCCGAGACAAGACCGAAAAAGUGUCUGAUUGUGAAGGCAGUGAAAUCCACUUUCAGUGAUCAGAAUGCUACGGUGAGGAAGGCAGUUCUUCAUUUCAUCCAGAGGCUGCUCAGCUUACAAAGUGUGGAGAACUGUGCAGCUUGGGAUAUGGUAGCACAUGUUUUCACGGAGUUCAGUGUGUCCACCAGCAAACUGGCUAUUCCGGAAGAAAACACGAUCAAACCCUGUGCACUGACAUCCUGCAAUGUCUGGACACCUCGGUCACUGGAAUGACCCAAGUGUUAUGGCCAAGGCUUCUCGAAUAUGUGGUGCCAGCUCAGUACACUGGUAAUUUGAAGCCUCUGCAGAUGCCUUAGGGAGCUGGCUGAGAAAAAGCAGCAGGAAGGAGAAGAAGCUGCUUGCCUUGACUACGGUGGACCAGGUUUAUAACAGAAACUCUUUCAUUUAUGCUCUCCAGGCACACUACACAAUGAACAGGUUCAGUCUGCUCCAGUUCUCUCAUCUGCAAUGAGAAGGCUAAAAUGAGGGAUGGUCUUGUGAUUACAACAUGGCCAUGGGAUGGAGCUAGGAAAUUGAAACUCCCUACACCCCAGGGGCUG